UGCCAGCAGCCGCGGUAAUACGAAGGGGGCUAGCGUUGUUCGGAAUUACUGGGCGUAAAGCGCGCGUAGGUGGAUGUGCAAGUCAGGGGUGAAAUCCCGGGGCUCAACCCCGGAACUGCCUCUGAAACUGCGCAUCUUGAGUCUCGGAGGGGAUGGUGGAAUUUCUAAUGUAGCGGUGAAAUGCGUAGAGAUUAGAAGGAACACCGGUGGCGAAGGCGACCAUCUGGACGAGUACUGACACUGAGGUGCGAAAGCGUGGGGAGCAAACAGGAUUAGAUA
rnacentral:rRNA from 1 species